AAGCUGCGAUACGUAAUGUGAAUUGCAGAAUUCAGUGAAUCAUCGAAUCUUUGAACGCAAAUUGCGCCAACGGCUCCCCGUUGGCAUGCCUGUCUGAGUGUCAUUUUCCAACCUCUUUCCUAAUUUAUUUUCGGAAAGGCAGUGAGGUGGUCCUGGACCCUAGCCGUCCAUGUCCCUUUAAAGCACGUAGGCGUUGCUUUGUGUAUUCCUACCAAUUGCAAACGCGGUUUUUGGCCUAUAAAAGAAGAAAAAGAACUUUUAUGUUCUGGUAUUCCUUUUUAUUACCUUCAAGAACCUGCGGGUAGGCGCAAAGGCGCUCCACUCAACUUUUUCAAAAAACCAUGACCUCAGAUCAGACAAGACUACCCGCUGAAUUUAA
rnacentral:misc_RNA from 1 species